AUAAGUGCUGAAAGCAUCUAAGCACGAAACUUGCCCCGAGAUGAGUUCUCCCUGAGACUUUAAGUCUCCUGAAGGAACGUUGAAGACGACGACGUUGAUAGGCCGGGUGUGUAAGCGCAGCGAUGCGUUGAGCUAACCGGUACUAAUGAACCGUGAGGCUUAACCUUACAACGCCGAAGCUGUU
rnacentral:rRNA from 1 species